AUACGGAGGGUGCGAGCGUUGUUCGGAAUUAUUGGGCGUAAAGAGCAUGUAGGCGGUCUGUUAAGUCUGGUGUGAAAGCCCGGGGCUCAACCCCGGAAGUGCAUUGGAUACUGGCAGACUUGAGUAUGGGAGAGGAAAGCGGAAUUCCGAGUGUAGGAGUGAAAUCCGUAGAUAUUCGGAGGAACACCAGUGGCGAAGGCGGCUUUCUGGACCAAUACUGACGCUGAGAUGCGAAAGCGUGGGGAGCGAACAGAAUUAGAAACCCCAGUAGUCC
rnacentral:rRNA from 1 species